AAGAAGCAUUGAAACAGACGAUGACGUCUUUGAAAAAGUGGAGAGGAGCAGUAAUAAAGCAGAGGAAAGACAAACAAAGAGUGUAGAGGAAUCUGAAUAUCGUAAAAUACUAAGAGACAUUGAUGGCCAUAAAGCGUCUAAGAGAAGCACUGGAUAUUUGACUACUGAAAUUGAAGCUUAAAUCAUAGGGAACUAGUUGAAUGAAGGACAUACAAAGGAACCAUUCUAACAUUUCUGUUGAAAAUGAAAUAAAAAUAUCUGCAU